AUUGAACGCUGGCGGCAUGCCUUACACAUGCAAGUCGAACGGUAACGCGGGGCAACCUGGCGACGAGUGGCGAACGGGUGAGUAAUAUAUCGGAACGUGCCCAGUCGUGGGGGAUAACUGCUCGAAAGAGCAGCUAAUACCGCAUACGACCUGAGGGUGAAAGCGGGGGAUCUUCGGACCUCGCGCGAUUGGAGCGGCCGAUAUCAGAUUAGGUAGUUGGUGGGGUAAAGGUCUACCAAGCCGACGAUCUGUAGCUGGUCUGAGAGGACGACCAGCCACACUGGGACUGAGACACGGCCCAGACUCCUACGGGAGGCAGCAGUGGGGAAUUUUGGACAAUGGGGGCAACCCUGAUCCAGCCAUGCCGCGUGCGGGAAGAAGGCCUUCGGGUUGUAAACCGCUUUUGUCAGGGAAGAAAUCCUUUGGGCUAAUAACUCGGAGGGAUGACGGUACCUGAAGAACAAGCACCGGCUAACUACGUGCCAGCCGCCGCCGUAA
rnacentral:rRNA from 1 species